rnacentral:rRNA from 1 species
UGCAGUCGAGCGGAACGAGUUAUCUGAACCUUCGGGGAACGAUAACGGCGUCGAGCGGCGGACGGGUGAGUAAUGCCUAGGAAAUUGCCCUGAUGUGGGGGAUAACCAUUGGAAACGAUGGCUAAUACCGCAUGAUGCCUACGGGCCAAAGAGGGGGACCUUCGGGCCUCUCGCGUCAGGAUAUGCCUAGGUGGGAUUAGCUAGUUGGUGAGGUAAGGGCUCACCAAGGCGACGAUCCCUAGCUGGUCUGAGAGGAUGAUCAGCCACACUGGAACUGAGACACGGUCCAGACUCCUACGGGAGGCAGCAGUGGGGAAUAUUGCACAAUGGGCGCAAGCCUGAUGCAGCCAUGCCGCGUGUAUGAAGAAGGCCUUCGGGUUGUAAAGUACUUUCAGUCGUGAGGAAGGCGGCGUCGUUAAUAGCGGCGUUGUUUGACGUUAGCGACAGAAGAAGCACCGGCUAACUCCGUGCCAGCAGCCGCGGUAAUACGGAGGGUGCGAGCGUUAAUCGGAAUUACUGGGCGUAAAGCGCAUGCAGGUGGUUUGUUAAGUCAGAUGUGAAAGCCCGGGGCUCAACCUCGGAAUAGCAUUUGAAACUGGCAGACUAGAGUACUGUAGAGGGGGGUAGAAUUUCAGGUGUAGCGGUGAAAUGCGUAGAGAUCUGAAGGAAUACCGGUGGCGAAGGCGGCCCCCUGGACAGAUACUGACACUCAGAUGCGAAAGCGUGGGGAGCAAACAGGAUUAGAUACCCUGGUAGUCCACGCCGUAAACGAUGUCUACUUGGAGGUUGUGGCCUUGAGCCGUGGCUUUCGGAGCUAACGCGUUAAGUAGACCGCCUGGGGAGUACGGUCGCAAGAUUAAAACUCAAAUGAAUUGACGGGGGCCCGCACAAGCGGUGGAGCAUGUGGUUUAAUUCGAUGCAACGCGAAGAACCUUACCUACUCUUGACAUCCAGAGAACUUUCCAGAGAUGGAUUGGUGCCUUCGGGAACUCUGAGACAGGUGCUGCAUGGCUGUCGUCAGCUCGUGUUGUGAAAUGUUGGGUUAAGUCCCGCAACGAGCGCAACCCUUAUCCUUGUUUGCCAGCGAGUAAUGUCGGGAACUCCAGGGAAACUGCCGGUGAUAA